rnacentral:misc_RNA from 1 species
UUUCCGUAGGUGAACCUGCGGAAGGAUCAUUAUUGGAUUUUGAAACUCCAGGCUGCUGCUGGCUCUCCUCGGAGGGCAUGUGCACGCUUGUUGUCCAUUAUUUCUCCCACUGUGCACAAAUUGUAUACCUUUCAGUAGGCCUAUGUUGUUUUUCACAAUCUCUGAAUGUAAUAGAAUGGUUUUGAAUCUUGGGAAAUACAAUACAACUUUCAGCAACGGAUCUCUUGGCUCUCGUAUCGAUGAAGAACGCAGC